rnacentral:rRNA from 1 species
CAAGUCGAACGCGUCUAGCAAUAGACGAGUGGCGGACGGGUGAGUAACGCGUGGGAACCUGCCCUUGAGUGCGGGAUAACCGAGGGAAACUUCGGCUAAUACCGCAUGCGCCCCCAGCGAUGGGGGGAAAGAUUUAUCGCUCGAGGAGGGGCCCGCGUCGGAUUAGCUAGUUGGUGGGGUAAUGGCCUACCAAGGCGAUGAUCCGUAGCUGGUCUGAGAGGAUGAUCAGCCACACUGGGACUGAGACACGGCCCAGACUCCUACGGGAGGCAGCAGUAGGGAAUAUUGGACAAUGGGGGCAACCCUGAUCCAGCAAUGCCGCGUGAGUGAUGAAGGCCUUAGGGUUGUAAAGCUCUUUCGCGCGCGACGAUGAUGACGGUAGCGCGAGAAGAAGCCCCGGCUAACUUCGUGCCAGCAGCCGCGGUAAUACGAAGGGGGCGAGCGUUGUUCGGAAUUACUGGGCGUAAAGGGCGCGCAGGCGGCCGAUCAAGUCAGGCGUGAAAGCCCCGGGCUUAACCUGGGAAUUGCGCUUGGGACUGGUUGGCUUGAGUUCGGGAGAGGAGAGUGGAAUUCCCAGUGUAGAGGUGAAAUUCGUAGAUAUUGGGAAGAACACCGGUGGCGAAGGCGGCUCUCUGGACCGAUACUGACGCUGAGGCGCGAAAGCGUGGGGAGCAAACAGGAUUAGAUACCCUGGUAGUCCACGCUGUAAACGAUGUGCGCUAGACGUUGGAGGGCGUAGCCUUCCGGUGUCGCAGCUAACGCUUUAAGCGCACCGCCUGGGGAGUACGGCCGCAAGGUUAAAACUCAAAGG